rnacentral:rRNA from 1 species
UACGUAGGGGGCAAGCGUUGUCCGGAAUCAUUGGGCGUAAAGAGCGUGUAGGCGGCUCGGUAAGUCCGCUGUGAAAGUCCAGGGCUCAACCCUGGAAAGCCGGUGGAAACUGUCAAGCUUGAGUCCGGAAGAGGAGAGUGGAAUUCCUGGUGUAGCGGUGAAAUGCGCAGAUAUCAGGAAGAACACCCGUGGCUAAGGCGGCUCUCUAGUACGGUACUGACGCUGAGACGCGAAAGCGUGGGGAGCGAACAGG